rnacentral:rRNA from 1 species
GAUGAACGCUGGCGGCGUGCCUAAUACAUGCAAGUCGAGCGAACAGACGAGGAGCUUGCUCCUCUGACGUUAGCGGCGGACGGGUGAGUAACACGUGGAUAACCUACCUAUAAGACUGGGAUAACUUCGGGAAACCGGAGCUAAUACCGGAUAAUAUAUUGAACCGCAUGGUUCAAUAGUGAAAGACGGUUUUGCUGUCACUUAUAGAUGGAUCCGCGCCGCAUUAGCUAGUUGGUAAGGUAACGGCUUACCAAGGCGACGAUGCGUAGCCGACCUGAGAGGGUGAUGGGACGCACUGGAACUGAGACACGGUCCAGAAUACUACGGGAGGAAGCAGUAGGGAAGAUUACGCAAUGGGCGAAAGCCUGACGGAGCAAUGAAGAGUGAGUGAUGAAGGUCUUAGGAUCGUAAAACUCUGUUAGUAGGGAAGAACAAAUGUGUAAGUAAAUAUGCACGUCUUGACGGUACCUAAUCAGAGAGCCACGGCUAACUACGUG